CCCCUUCCGCGGAACAUUCCUGGGCGGGCGCAAGGCGAGCGUGGUCCAGCCCUGAUAGGCGGGGCCGCGUUGAGUGACGGCCCGGCCCCACCUUCCGGUUAAGGAGUUGGAGAAGGCUGUUCGACAGGGAAGUGCCUCAGGCCGGCAUUGUUUCGCAGCUAGAAUGAAGCACAUCAACUUGUCCUUUGCAGCCUGUGGGUUUCUGGGCAUUUACCACUUGGGGGCAGCAUCUGCACUUCGCAGACACGGAAAAAAGCUUCUGAAGGAUGUCAAGGCCUUUGCGGGGGCUUCUGCAGGAUCCUUGGUUGCUUCCGUCCUGCUAACAGCGCCAGAAAAAAUAGAGGAAUGUAACGAGUUUACUUACAAGUUUGCUGAAGAAACCCGAAGGCAGUUGCUUGGGGCAGUAACGCCUGGCUAUGAUUUCAUGGCCCGAUUGAGGAGAGGGGUGGAGUCGAUUCUCCCUGCCAACGCGCACGAGCUGGCCCACAACCGCCUGCACAUCUCCAUCACCAACACCAAGACCAGAGAAAAUGACUUAGUCUCCAGCUUCUCCUCCAGGGAGGACCUCAUUAAGGUGCUUUUAGCGAGCAGCUUCGUGCCGGUGUACGCAGGGCUGAAACCAGUGGAGUACAGAGGGCAGAAGUGGGUGGACGGCGGCUUCACCAACAGCCUGCCCAUCCUGCCUGUGGGCCGGACGGUGACCAUCUCCCCAUUCAGCGGACGGCUGGACAUCUCCCCGCAGGACGAGGCGCAGCUGGGUCUCUACGUUAACGUCACCAAUCAGGACAUCCUGACAGCAGUGGCCGGACAGACAGACACGUACAAGAAUCACAACCCCUCUCUCCUCACACUACACUGGGGCUGGUCACUUGUCCGCUAACCUCCUUUGCAUCCACUCCUUCGCUUCAUACUCAUGAACCACCUCUGCUAACUGUCUGCCACCGUGCUACGCCGACCCCGGGAACACAGAGACGAUUAAGGAUACUUCUCCACCUUUGAGGUUCGCAGCUGUAAGAGGAAAUCAUAAGCAUACAUCUGUUCCCAAAAAUAUUCAGACACAUCUUUGUCAUCUUGAACCACUGGAUAGACUCUCUCCAGACAUGUGAGAGGCUGCAGAUGCAGAGGUAGCUGGGUGACUCACUCCUGACAAUGGCAUAUGCGACUGCAGGACAGGUUCCUUUCCUCCCUUAUUCAAAUUGGUAUUCUCUGCCGGAGCCAGAGGAUUAAUGAUAUUCACCCCCAAACUGCCCCCCUCUCUGAAUGCAGAACAUAAGAAGGACAUUCUCAUCCUCAUCUUCUGAAAAAGUUUCUGGUUCUGUCAGCAGCACAGCAAUACUUCCUCGUCCUUUUUUGACACAUUGAAAAAAACUCAAAAUGGAAAUGAUUCAUACCUCACACUCCAUGUCAUCGGCGUGGCCGCUGGAGCUCACACGGCAUUAACUUCAGGAACAGCAAUGGAAAUGUCCUUAUGCUAAGCACAUGCGACUCUCCGUCAGAGGCCAAGUUCUCUAAAUGACAGCCAACUGCCUUCUGGGAAGAGCCGAUCUUAAAAACAAACAAACAAACAAAAAAAAGCAAAAUUGCUACAAAUCUCUGCCCCAGACUAGGCAAGAGGAAAUCAUUUUACAAUAGUUGAAUGCGCAGAAUGAAACACACUGAAAGGUGGGGAUGGGAAUGGCAAAUUAGAAAUUAAAAACUAGCACCUGAGCCACUCCAGGAAGUGAGAUAACAGACUACCACCUAAUAGCUGAGAAUAUCUGAGCUCAUCUUUACAAAAUGCCAAGAAAGGGGAGCCAGCGUUACAGAGUGGUCCGUUCACAGAUGGCAAGGCAUCUUGUCAUAUAUAAAGUGGCUGUGUUCACACAAAGAAUAAAAAGAAGGGGGAAAAAACACCCUAUUUUGAUAUGUCCAUUAAAUUAUUGGGCAUGAACUUUCAAUUUCAUUCACCUUUAAAAAAAAUUAAACAGGAGCAAUUUUAGCCCAGCAUGAUCAGAAACGUUCCCAAGAGAAGCUUUCCCUUUGACUAGCUCCCAGCUUUACGCUGUUCAAGGCCAGUGUUUUAGAUCUAAGGCCCUUUAAUGAGUGACCGCUCAUGGCAGGGAGGGGGGACCAGUGAUGGAGACGCCAGGGGGAACCAUUAGCCCUGAUGCUGGCAACUGUUUAGGACUGGGUUUGUAGUCCUUCAGUUACCUUUCUUUUAUUUUAUACUUCUUUCGGAAGAGCACUUCCCUAAAUAAUCUACUCACAGCCUGUAUCCCAGCCAAGAGCAAGUGGUCAUCUCUGUCUCACAAACGGGCUGUGAGUCGAUGGCUUCCUGCCAUGUCUCCUUAAUUUACCCUUUUGUCUGCCUGACUCUCUCCCAACCCUGCCAAGUCCUUCUGUUUCUCUCCGUGCGCCUCCCACACCCACUCCAGUCCAUCGUCCAGACUGAUCCCCUAAGAUUAUAAAGGGGGUUGUUUUUAUGCGACCGUCCCUCAACCUCCCAUGGGCCCCCGUCCUGAUUUGAAUAAAACCCAACUCCUCCCCCAGGCGAUCAGCCACCUGAACUGGCGCCGCUACCUCUCUGAGCGCAUCUCCCACAACCUUCCUCUCCCUGCCUCACACCCUGAGCCCUCUGGACCUUUCUGGAACCUCCCGAAGUCUGUCUGUGCACCGUGGCAGUUCCUGGUCCUCAUGCUAGAGAGACACAAUCCCCACAUUUCUUUUCCAAGGUUGGUUCCUCCUAACCAUUCUAUCCUUCAGUCCACAUGUCGCAUCCACCACUCCCUUCCUGCGCCAGCUCCCACCAGGUCCUCAUUCUCUUCCAUUUUCUACAGAGCAGCUGAUAAAAACGUCACCCUCUCUCCAUCACUCUCCUUCAUCUUCUUCGUUGUGCCUGAUUUCAGCCCGUAGUAUCUCAUCUGCUCCUGCAUCUGUGUACCAUCGGUCCCCCAUCCCUGCAAAUGUCAGCUCCAUGUGACAAGGAGCCUUGUGGGUCUCACUCGCUCUUCCUUUCCAGCACCUAAAACCACUUACCCACCCACAGGCAUAUACAGAGGAUGCACCUCUCAAAUAUUUAUUGAGCCCAUGGAUGACUCCGUUCCUUGGCGCCUCCCAGAAGCGAGCAGGCGGCAGCCAGGCAGGAGAGCCAUCGGUGCGGUCCCCGCCCUGGAGUUCCUGCUUUUACCCUCCUGACACGGAGGUCUCUGUGAGCUCAGAGGCUGCUGUGAGGUGGCCGCUGUGGCCGGCCGCCCACUCCCCGGGCCCCUCCUGUUGGCCCCUGCUAAUCUGCUGUUAGCCAUCCCAAGUGAACACCAGCAUUUACUCAUGCCGCACGCUGAACCUGGGAGUGAUCACUUAUGCGGGUGUGCGCUACCCAUGUCCCUGGGGAGGGGUCAGCACCCCCAUGGGGAUGACAUGCCAGGAGGAGGAGUGGUUCCCACGGCUCGAUGGCCUCCAAGUGGACGUGCCAAAGACUGCAUUGCCGGCAUGUGGCUCGGAAGGACCAGUCCUGGCACGGCCGAGCGGACCUCCUCCUCGCUUCUCCUUCCUGUUGCCAGGAGGACGGCGUCCCUGACUGGUAGGAUGUAUCCUUCCGGGUACGCGGCAGAGAGUGUGCUGAGUGAAUGUGUGUGCGUGCAUGUGUGUGCGUGUGCUGCUGACGCAGGAGGCCCUGAGAACACGAGGGCAGGGACAGGCAGCUUAACUGGACCUUCCUGCCUGCUCACCAAUACAGGUAUCUCCCUGCUUCCCGUGGGAACCAACGAAAAGGCUUUGUUACAGACUGCAGAUGCCUCACAAAUGAGCAUUCCAUCUCCCAGGAAAAACGUGUCGCCGUCCCUGGUAACAAUACCAUCUCCACAUCAGGAAUCACGGUGGAGGCCUGCUCUGUGUGGGAAGUGCGUUUCCGGGAACACGGCGCAUGUUAAUUUACAGAAUUCUCGGAGCACGCCGCAUCUUAGGUAUUUUUGUUAUUAGCAGGGCUCUGAAGGUGGGGCAGUUGAGCAGAAAAGCAAAUUCCCAGUCUUGCGCAUUUCCUUCCCAGACAGGUACAUCAGGGUACCCCGCAGGACUGACUUCACAGGAGACGUCUGGGGGAUACCUGCUGUGUUUCCACACUUACAGAAAGGAGGGAAGGAUGCUGGAUACAGAGUGAACAGGCAUGGAGACAACUCUGCCCUUUAUUAGCCUCCCUGACCCUUGACGUUCUCAUGGCAGAGUGAGAUGAGUGCCUGCCUCUCAGAACCCUGGGGAUUUGAGUCAGUGUGAGGUCGUGAGAAGACAUGUCCAACUGUGUGCUCUCUGUUCACACGAGGUAUUGAAAGUGCUUCAUCGGGGGGAGGGUGUUGCUCAGGUGGCAGAGCGCAUGCUUAGCAUGCAUGACGUCUUACCUUCAAUCCCCAGUACCUCCUUCAAAACUAAAUAAAUAAGUAAGUGAGUAAAAAAAACUAAUUACCCCUGCCUACAAAAAAAAAGUGUUUCAUCAACAGACAACCAGGCUCAAGACAUGGAAACAACCUAAAUGUCCACCGACAGAUUACUGGACAAAGAAGGUGUAGUAUAUUUAUGCAAAGUAAUAUUAUUCAGCCAUAAAAAAGAAUGAAGUAAUGCCAUUGGCAGCAACAUGCAUGGACCUAGAGAUCGCCAUUCUGAGUGAAGAUAGA